UCAAUCAUCACUCAAUUAAUUUCUCAUUAACUUUAACACUGCUUCAGUGGGUAGAAUAAAAAUAUGGCAGGACUUUUACUUUCUGACCCCUGGACUUUCCACUUCUGACCAAGGGUAUGUUUCCCGAAAGUAUCGUUAGCCAACUACUUUCAUAAGUCCCAUUGAACUCUAUUGGUAACAAUAAAACUUGCCUCUCUUUCAGAAACGGCUUGACUUACCCUUCUUUCUCAGGUUUGACAUACCUCCCAUUCUAAAACAGAAAACCCAGAGUUUCUGUAAUUUCAUGGUUAACAUACUUACUGGUGGUUUCACAGACAAGGCUUAAGCUUCUGCCAGACCUUAAAAUAUGUCAGUGUCAUUGUUUUGUUUCAAGAUGCACAUCAGUAAUGUUUUUUCUAAGGCACAUUUAUAAAAGCUACAUAAAUACCCCAAUUAAAAUAAGGCCUAAUCCUGGCUUUGUCAAAGCCCUGUCUGUGAAACUGGGCCUCAACAGAAACAGGCUCCAGGGCAUAAGUUAAAAUGAUUAUUCUGUGAAAUUUUAGAAAACUGCUUUUGGACAAUCAUUUUUCCCCCCAUCAGGACAGCAAAUCUUUAAUCAGCAAGUACAGUGAAAAAAAGCACACACAAAAAGCAUAAAAAAACAAACAUUAAAAGAUCAGAUAAAACCCUUAGCUGAAUAUUAAAAUACAUGUAUAUAUAGCCUAUAUCCUCCUGACAUCCAGCUAUAUGGAGUUUUGUCCUCUGUAGAGGACAUUAUAUUUUAAUGAAUUUCUCUGAGACCUUAGAUGUCACAGUUUUAAGUCUGGAUGUCUUGUAAGGAUCACAUUCAGUGCUUUUCAGAGAUACCAAAUGUUUGGAAGUUUCACAAUGACCAUUCCCUCUCCCUGAUCUUUAAAUAGGGCAGUGGCGCCCCCAGAAAAUUUUAAUAGGGGUGGCCAGACGAGGCCACAGCAAAUCUUGGGGUGGCCAAAAAAAAAAAAAAAAAAAAAAUUAUAUAUAUAUAUAUACACAUACACACAGGGUACGAUUUUUGGGGGGAUGUUUUGAAAAAAAAAAAAUUUGGUCUUUUUUUCCGCACACUUUCUUAUUUUCUGACAGGAAUGCAAAACCAUAAAAAAACAAUUUUGAUCUUUUGAAUAGAAUACCGACAGACAAACUUCUACAUUCAAUCGCGUUUGCUCCCAUUUAUUUUAGACCACAGUGCAUACACAUACAUACUUUUAGUCCCAAAGCGCGCACACAGAGAAAUACACGUUUACCUCAGAUUUCGUUAGAAUAUAACCAGGGCCCGUACGCAGUGUUUCAUAAUGGCCAAGGUCACAAAAUGUAUUUUGCUAGGGGGGUUCGGGGGCAUGCUCCCCCGAGAAAAUUUAGAUUUCCCUGGUGUACACAUGUGCAUUUUAGGAUGUUUUAAGGCCAACGAAUUGGAUAAAUAGCUUUAAAACCAUGUCAACACAUUCAUACAUGCACGCACAAUUUUGAGGUAGUUUUUAAUUUCAUAUAAUUCCAUGACUUCAUUUACAACAGAACAACGACCAUCAUUGCUCGUACUUUCUUUUGCGCUUUAUUUAAGCUAUAAUAAAGUAAUUAUGCAAUUCUCGGCUGAUUGGCCGAGUCAUGUUCAUUUAUAUGCCUAUAUUAUAAUGUUAUUUUUUUAUUUCAUCUAUUUGAUUAAGACAAGUGAACAGCUUGAGUAAGAAUACAUCAACAUCUGGAGACAUGGAGUGUGUCAGACAUGAUUUUGAUCACUUCAAUAAGUUUUGUUUUGUAGAAAGCCUUUCUUUAAAGUGAAUUUCGUUUUGUAAAAAUUGUAUCUUAAUUUUAAUCAAUGUUUCAUCAACCAAUUGCCUGGAUUUAAUAAAUAAGAAGCAAAAUAUGUUCAUGGAUGCGCGGGCGCGAUCACUUGCACUUGAUCUGCAGCGCGACUUAUAGACUAAAUAAACUGAAACUCAGUGUAUAGGCUGCUUGCCUCACAGACACGAGAAAAAUAUCAAUAGAAAGCUUGAAAUGUCUUCUUUUAAACUAAAUAAUUUAAAACGAAAAGAAAUGGGCUACUCUCCGAUUAUGUAAUCCGAAUGAAAAGUGCAUUCUGGACAUCCUGCGAAGAUGAUGAGAGUCAGCAAUGUCAACUUCAUCUUUGCAGCCGACAAUGAUUAAAUUAAGAAAAAACAAUUAAAAUGUCUCCUUGCUGUUUUUUUGUCAAAUUCAUAAUCAUUUCUUUUGCAGAUUCUUUAUGGCAAGCUUUAUGUGUGCGCUUGAGUGCUAUAAAUGCUAAUUAUAAAGUUUAUUCUCUCCAGUAUUUAAGAACUUGAAUGUGAAUAAUCAACUAAUCAAUGUGAUUAGUCAACUAAUGGCUUGAACACUAGUCGAUGAGAAAAAAAACAACUUAUUUCACAUAGGCCUAUUUUCUAUCCAGCAUGUCACAAUGGGUAUUCUGAUUUGAGCUCGCGCCCCGCUCGCAUUCUCUCUCUCUCUCUCUCUCUCUCACUCACACACACACACACACACACGGAACUUUGUGCGAUUGCUUCGAAAAUCUGCAGGCCGAAAAAUCGUGUCGUAUAUCACCUCGUCCGUACGAUUUUCAGAUAAACUCACUCGUGACUGUUGUGCGUGGAUAUACGAUCUUCCGACCAUCAGAAUUCGCACCGUGUACGCCCGCCUCUAGGCUACUCUGGUGGCGCCAAUCAAUCUACAAUCUUUUUUGGUGGCAUUUCAUUUUCUUUCACUCCAUGAACUUGUGAAUUUACAUUAUGCAUUUAAAUUAAUAGUACCCACUCCAGAAUCAUACUGGGGGUGGCCACAGGGGUGGCCAGAGUUUAUACAGGGGUGGCCGUGGCCACCCCUGGCCACCCCUUGGGGGCGUCCCUGAAAUAGGGCUGACAUUAAUUUAGUGAUCAAAUUUAACACCCUUAUGAAAAUAUGAUUUAUUUAUUUAUUUUUUUUUAUCAUUUAAAUCUGACUAAUUUUCAAAUUAUUUGUCAUAAAUCAAUAUGUUAGGAAAAUGUUAUGGGGUUUCUAAUCAAAAUAUGACUUUGUUACAAAACAGGACAUUGAUUUCACUGUUAGACAUUUCUGUAAUUUCCAAUGGCCAAGCAGGGGAGAUGGACCAACUGGGAGGCCCUGGAGAAGAAAAAGCUCAGCUGGCGUGACAUCUUGCAGAUGGAGGGAGCGCGGCUAUGUUUUGUCAUCAGAGCCACAUACAACCUGCUACCCUCCCCUCAAAAUCUGAAAGAGUGGUAUGGAGAAGACCCUGCCUGUUCCCUGUGUCAAGUACCUGCAUCCCUAAGGCACAUUCUAUCAGGGUGUACUACAAGUCUCACUCAAGGGCGCUAUACUUGGCGGCAAAACCAAGUACUUCGAGAGCUGGCGUCAAUACUAGAACAGAAGCGAACCACCAUAAACAACCUCCCACAAACAUUGGCAGGACAGGUCAAAUUCACAAAUUUCAUACCAGCUGGCCAACAUCAAGAGCAUCGUACAACACCUAAGGAUGCAAGCAUCCUGCAGUCAGCAUGGGAUUGGAAAUUGGAAGUUGACCUUGAUACGAAGCUUGUGUUUCCCCCAGAAAUAGUGGCUACAACACUCCGGCCAGACAUGGUCCUGUGGUCUCAAACAACAAAGCUGGCAUAUGUUGUGGAAUUAACAGUACCAUGGGAGGAUGGGGUUGAAGAAGCUUAUGAGAGGAAAAAGAACAAAUAUUCAGAUCUGGCAGCUGAAGCAUCCCAGAACGGCUGGAAGAUCAGCAUCUUCCCAGUAGAGGUGGGAUGCAGGGGAUUUGUUGCAACAUCUACCACCAGGUUGAUGACAAAAAUAGGGGUGAAGGGUCGUUCGUUCCAACAGGCCAUUAAGUCCUUGUCAAGUGCUGCUGAAAAAAGCAGUAACUGGCUCUGGAUCAAGCGUAAGGACCCUAUCUGGGCAGCAAGGUAGAGACAGAUGGUAUGCGGUCAGGCUUAGGCCUGAUUCAGGGAGAAGGACGCCUCUGCCAUGCAGAGCCCAUCAGGGAGAUAGAGGGUAUGGCAUGGAGGGGGGUGUGCCUGGGACGCUGGGUACACCGUUGAGCCUUUAGUAGACAUUGUGGGCUUCAAUUAACGAAACGUCGAUGAAGCAGGGUGCCCACCUGAUGACCCCAAUGACAUACCUUACCCCUCUUCCUUUUUUUUUUUUUUUUCCUCACUCCAUACUGACUGCUUCUAUCAAGAGUUUCCUACUUAAGGGAUUGAAACAUCUAGUUCUAUUAGCUUUACUACAGUUAUUUACCAUAUAUCACCCAGUAUUAUACUGCUAAUUCUCUUUACAAUAUAUAACUGUGAUUCCCUUUGCAUCAUGGGAAUUUUCUGUGACGUCAAACACCACAUACAGCGAUUUACUGUAUUUUUUAAAUUUGCAGUAUACUACUGUAUUUGCUGUAACGGCCUCUCUGGCACCAUUCCGUCGUGUUUUUUUUAUUUUUCUCUUUUUUGUACAUUUGUUUUGACAUGAUUUGCCUUACACCGCUCGUCUACAACGCUAACAGCCCACGGACACACUGAAGCUACCGGACCUUUACAAAAUGCAAACCUGUUUGUCCCUUGUGUCAGAAAUAGCGCGAGCGCUUGGACUCGGAGUACCGUACAUAUAACGGGCCAUCAGUAACGUUAUCAGUAACUGUCUGGGAUUUGUCGUGUCGCGCCGGAGCAUUCAGUGCAAACAGUGAUUGUAAUGGGUUCUGUCUUUUGUUGGAUCGCGUUGUUUGCGUCCGGAGAGACGGAACCAGUGCGGCAGCGCCACAGUCUGUGGCCGCCCGGUGUACCGAUGCGAUGCACCCUGUGAAGACUUAUCCUGAGAGAGAGAGACCAGCGAGUAAGGUAAUAUAUAUAUAUAUAUAUAUAUAUAUAUAUAUAUAUAUAUAUAUAUAUAUAUACCACGGUAAACUGCGUUAACGUUUCAUUUGAUUUUGUUAGAUUAUGAAAUUUAAUAUUUACUGCAAUUUAUGAAUGCGUGUUUUAAAGGUCUCAACUGCAACAAAGCGCCGGUGACUGCUAGCAAGAUUUCUGAGCAAAUUAACCAAUCAGAAGAUGGACCAUUUUCUAUGUUCAGUCUCACCAGAUUACAUUUAUCCUGGCAGAAGACUCUCUACCAUUGCAGUCCCAACUGACCAGGAAGGUCCUAAUAUCAGCGCACAGCUUCCCCUUCACUGCAGACAGGCUGAAAUUGGCUAAUUCGUCGAUUGCAGUCUCUCUCUCUAUGGAUCUCAGCAUUUUUGGACAGAAUUUAGGAUAUCGUCAGAGCCGGGAUCUCCUCUGAAGGACUGAGUACAUUUGUGUUCGUGCACACGCAUACAGACCAGGAACAUUCUGAUGUUGUCAGUCAAGUUCUGAACUGGAACCAGUUUUGGGGAAGUUAAUUUAUUUCCAAAGUGUGUUGUCUUUUUAAAAAAAAUGAAUUUAGAGGAGAAAAUUGAAAAUAAGAAAUGUUUCUUGAACAGUCUUCUUUCAAAAACAUUAAGACACUGAAAUACUUUUGGCCACCAGUGUACAUUAAUCAAAUUUUGGAAAUAGUGAAUGAUUUUGAAAGUGGGUUUAUGUGCCAUGUUACCUAAUGAGAUUGAGAAAAGAACUGUUUUGUCCUGUGUUGGACAUUUCAUUUUUGACUGCUUAAAAAUGUAUUUAUAUUUUGCAGUUUUAUGAAUGUAAUUGUUGAUAUUUAAUUAUAAUAUUUUUUUUUGACAAUAAGCUAAACAACCAUUGACUUUACAUCAUUUUAUGUUUUUUAACAUAAUGCGUGUAGUGAAGGACAACACAACACAUAAUGUGUUAAUUUAACAAGUUUACACAUCUUUGUGCUAACCUUUUUGACACAUUUACUUUGUUAAAAACAAUAACAGCUUAAUGAGUUAAAAUUAAAAUUGUGUCCCUAAACUCUCCCAUUAAUGUGUAAAUAUUGUCAUUUUUAACACAUCCUUUCCAGCAUU